UCAUGCAAAGGCCCAGGGUUUACAACAGACUCUUCUGCAUCUCAUGGGUUGAGUAAAAGCAGGAUGGGAGUCCAGCUUUGGCCUUGUGGAAUUAACCACUUAUUUGUAAGCAUCCAGGCUGUGAACACAGUUGGAGAAAGAGAAGUUAAACUGCUCAGGCUUCUUUUGUGAUUGCUGACCUGUUGGGGGUGGGUUUGAUUCCAUUCUUUCCCCAUGUGCACCACUUAAGAUUGAAGGCAGCUGCCAGACCAUGCUGCAGAACACCAUUCUUUGGGUUGAAGGUUUGACUGAUGCCCCUUCAGCUGUAGCUGACAGCUCCCCAAAUCCAAUGCAAGACCCCGUCAUUACCUUUGGAAGUUACUGUAUGAACUCAGAGUUACAUUUCGGAAAGAGGGGAAUGU